UAAACGGUCAAGUACAAGCCAAUAUGGAGUGAAUUAACGCUCAUCUGAUCCAUGCUGAUAAUGCGGGUCCUCUGCUUAUUGAACCUAAAUGAAGGGCCAUCUGGGGAAUGGUCCAGUCUGCCCUGAAUGAGGCUGAGAAAGUAUCGACCUUCACUGUAACGCAGACAAACUGAACAGGCUCAAAGCUUAAAUUCUACUUUUAUUGUAAAAUGUCACUCAAGUCAUAAAGGGUUUACAGCAUCACAAGAUGCUAUUCAGUUCCAUCUUCAUCUUGAGAUCCGUGUAUUGGGCAGUCAUUCUGUAGUUAAUCUUCAGCACCAUUCGUCACCUAGUGAUGUGAAACAUGGCUCGUUAAAACAAUGACAGUCAAACGGUUGCAUCUGAUAAGCCUCUCAUCAGAGUUCAGAAAACUAGUUAUCACCACUAAACAAUCUGCCGGUAAUUCCAGCGUUAGUUUAACAUUUCAUCACAACAACGAUGUUCUGUGUAUUUUUUUUUAAAUACAAUUAAUUUUGUACAAACCUACCAUGAAAGUCUGGACAAGCGUCAGUUCCAGAUCCCCAGGUCCGUGCCUUGCAACACGUUCAUCUAGAAAAGCAACAUCUAAAUUUAGUGCCCUACUGAAACCUAUGGCCAAAUACACAAGACCAUACAGAGGUUCAGAAAACUAUUUAUCACCACUAAGAAUCUGCCGGUAAUUCCAGCAUUAGUUCGAAAUUUCAUCACAACAUUGGCCUGUACAAUGUUACAGAACCCAUGAUUCCACUCACCCCAGUUCCACUCUAGUCCAUCUGCAGAAACGCCAAUAACAAACAUUAAUUCCACCUUGAAGAAAAAAAAAAAAAUACACCCAAUUAUGGAAGGAAAGAACAAACAGACUGAGAAAGAUCAUUUCUGUAGUCUCAGAAAUAUUGAAAAGAACUAUCGUCAGUGAUCGCAUAGGACGGCACUUCCUGUUUCAUCAUUGACAACACGGCCACACCCAAGAGGAGAAAGAAGUCCUGCUCACCAUGAGAACAUCUGAAGGAUCACUAGUAGGUCACCAGGUCCAGAGUCCAACACAUCCAUCUAGAAGGAACAUGUACAAUUAGUACCCUACAGAAACCCAUGGACCAAUACAAGUCACCAUGUGGAGGUUCAGAAAACUAUUUAUCACCACUAAACAAUCUGCCGGUAAUUCCAGCAUUAGUUUAAGAUUUCAUCACAACAUCGAUGGGCCACACAUCAAACUGUUAACGAGUCUACACACCUGGGCAGAGAAUCAUCCGGGCCGUUGCACCAAAUCCUGGGCCCCUAUACAAGUGGUAAUGAUGGCCGCCCCUGCGCUGAAUUGAUGGGAGGGGGGGUAGGAAGCAAUUGCUGACGGGGGGUGGGUGUAGGGAACAAUUGUUGACGGGGGAGGACGUGGCCGUGUGUGACUCCUAACACUGAGCUGGUAGAUUUUUUUUUUUUUUAUUGCUAUGGGCUUCCCCUCUGCCUUGGGGCCCCCCCACAACUGUCUACCUUUCCCCCGCAGUCCGUCGGCCCUGUCCAUAUGGCAGAACCUUUUCCACCUUAAAGAGAAGGAACCCAGUUAGAGAAGGGAAAGACCAAACAUGCUGAGCAAGAUACAUUCUGUAGUCUCAGAAAUAAUGAAAAGAACUAUCGUCAGUGAUCGCAUAGGACGGCACUUCCUGUUUCAUCAUUGACAACAUGGCCAAAACCCAAGAUGAGAAAUAAAUCCUGCUCACCAUGAAGAACCUCCAGCAUCACUAGCAUGUCACCAGGUCAGAGUGCAACACGUCCAUCUAGAAGGAAGAUCUACAAUUAUUACCCCACAGAAACACAUGGCCCAAUACAUAUGAAGAUGUAGAGGUUCAGAAAACUAUUUAUCACCACUAAACAAUCUGCCGGUAAUUCCAGCAUUAGUUUAAGAUUUCAUCACAACAGCCGGUAAUCCUUGGCGAACACGAUUCAUGAUUCCACUCACCGAUCACUCCAGCAGUCUGCAGAACCAUUUUUUGAAACGCGGCUGCUUCUCCAACCUUCAAAUAAAAAUCAAGUUAGAUACACAAUUAACCCUAUGAUCGAAUCAUCAUUUGGACAGGCCAUUUUCCAGGACAAGUUGCUCAGAAAACCCAUUAUCAACACUUAACAAUCUGACGGUAAUUCCAGCUGUAAGUUUAAGGUUUCAUCAUGGCAACAGGUCCACCUUGUAAAAGACAAUUCAAGAUUGCACUCACCCAUCACUGCCAGUCUGCAGAACCAUUUCUGUAGUACGGCCGCCUUUCCCACCUUAAAAGAAAAAAUUGAAUAAAGUUAGAUACAACAUUAACCUAUGAUCAUGUUAACCCAAUCAAUUGGAUAGGCCAUUUCCCGGAAAAAGUUGCUCAGAAAACCCAUUAUCAACACUAACAAUCUGACGGUAAUUCCAGCUGUAAGUUUAAGG
ensembl:lncRNA